rnacentral:rRNA from 1 species
CCUACGGGAGGCAGCAGUGGGGAAUAUUGCACAAUGGGGGAAAGCCUGAUGCAGCGACGCCGCGUGAGUGAAGAAGUACUUCGGGAUGUAAAGCUCUAUCAGCAGGGAAGAAAAUGACGAUACCUGACUAAGAAGCCCCGGCUAACUACGUGACAGCAGCCGCGGUAAUACGGCGGGGGCAAGCGUUCUUCGGAUCUAAUGGGUGUAAAGGGAGCGUAGACGGGCAGCCAAGUCAGGAGGGAAAGCCUAGGGAUCAACCCUGGGACUGCUUUUGAAACUGGCGGGCUGGAGUGCGGGAGAGGUAAGCGGAAUUCGUGGUGUAGCGGUGAAAUGCGUAGAGAUUAGGAGGAACACCAGUGGCGAAGGCGGCUUACUGGCACGUAACUGACGCUGAGGCGCGAAAGCGUGGGGAGCAAACAGGAUUAGAUACCCGUGUAGUC